rnacentral:pre_miRNA from 1 species
AGUGGAAUAGCUGGGCCAAAUAGUUGUUCCAUUCCAAGUUUUCUGAAGAAUAUCCAUACUGCUUUCCAUAGUGAUUAUACCAAUUUGCAGUCCCACCAGCAAU